UACGUAGGGGGCUAGCGUUGUCCGGAAUCAUUGGGCGUAAAGAGCGUGUAGGCGGCCCGGUAAGUCCGCUGUGAAAGUCGGGGGCUCAACCCUCGAAUGCCGGUGGAAACUGUCGGGCUCGAGUGCGGAAGAGGCGAGUGGAAUCCUGGUGUAGCGGUGAAAUGCGCAGAUAUCAGAGGACACCGAUUGCGAAGGCAGCUCGCUGGGACGCGACUGACGCUGGAGACGCGAAAGCGUGGGGAGCAAACAGG
rnacentral:rRNA from 1 species